GAUGAACGCUGGCGGCGUGCCUAAUACAUGCAAGUCGAGCGAACAGAUAAGGAGCUUGCUCCUUUGACGUUAGCGGCGGACGGGUGAGUAACACGUGGGUAACCUACCUAUAAGACUGGAAUAACUCCGGGAAACCGGGGCUAAUGCCGGAUAACAUUUAGAACCGCAUGGUUCUAAAGUGAAAGAUGGUUUUGCUAUCACUUAUAGAUGGACCCGCGCCGUAUUAGCUAGUUGGUAAGGUAACGGCUUACCAAGGCAACGAUACGUAGCCGACCUGAGAGGGUGAUCGGCCACACUGGAACUGAGACACGGUCCAGACUCCUACGGGAGGCAGCAGUAGGGAAUCUUCCGCAAUGGGCGAAAGCCUGACGGAGCAACGCCGUGUGAGUGAUGAAGGUCUUCGGAUCGUAAAACUCUGUUAUUAGGGAAGAACAAAUGUGUAAGUAACUGUGCACGUCUUGACGGUACCUAAUCAGAAAGCCACGGCUAACUACGUG
rnacentral:rRNA from 1 species